GACGAACGCUGGCGGCGUGCUUAACACAUGCAAGUCGAACGAUGAACCCCCAGCUUGCUGGGGGGGAUUAGUGGCGAACGGGUGAGUAACACGUGAGUAACCUGCCCUGGACUCUGGGAUAACCCCGAGAAAUCGGAGCUAAUACCGGAUAGGACCUUGCACCGCAUGGUGUGGGGUGGAAAGUUUUUUCGGUCUGGGAUGGACUCGCGGCCUAUCAGCUUGUUGGUGAGGUAAUGGCUCACCAAGGCGUCGACGGGUAGCCGGCCUGAGAGGGGGACCGGCCACACUGGGACUGAGACACGGCCCAGACUCCUACGGGAGGCAGCAGUGGGGAAUAUUGCACAAUGGGCGCAAGCCUGAUGCAGCAACGCCGCGUGCGGGAUGACGGCCUUCGGGUUGUAAACCGCUUUUAGUAAGGAAGAAGGGGAGCUUGCUCCUUGACGGUACUUGCAGAAAAAGGACCGGCUAACUACGUGCCAGCCGCCGCGGUAACAC
rnacentral:rRNA from 1 species